rnacentral:misc_RNA from 1 species
AAAUACUUAAUUUUUCAUUUAUAAAUACAAAUUCCAACUAUUUACAUUAAUAUCAAAAUAUAAUACAUGAGUCUCAAUUAUAUAUGAGAAAAUAAAAGCUUAAUUACAAAAUACCAAAAUGGGACCUAGUGUCUUAUCAAUGCAUUGAAGUUUGUGAGGUGACAUAGACACUAUGCAGAACUGUGGAUGGCCUCACCCAGUCUGUGGU